GAUGAAGAACGUAGCGAAAUGCGAUAACUAAUGUGAAUUGCAGAAUUCAGUGAAUCAUCGAAUCUUUGAACGCACAUUGCGCCUGCUAGUAUUCUGGCGGGCAUGCCUGUUCGAGCGUCAUUUCAACCAUCAAGCCCUAGGCUUGCGUUGGAGCCCUGCGGCUGCCGCAGGCUCCCAAAUCCAGUGGCGGGCUCGUCGUCGUACCGAGUGCAGUAAACAUCCUCGCUCAGGGAACGUGACGGGUUCUUGCCGUGAAACCCCCCACAUAUCAAGGUUGACCUCGGAUCAGGUAGGAAUACCCGCUGAACUUAAGCAUAUCAAUAAGCGGAGGA
rnacentral:misc_RNA from 1 species